AACGCGAAGAACCUUACCUGGGCUCGAAAUGUAGAGGACGAUAACAGAGAUGUUAUUUCCCGAAAGGGUCUCUAUAUAGGUGCUGCAUGGCUGUCGUCAGCUCGUGCCGUGAGGUGUUUGGUUAAGUCCAGCAACGAGCGCAACCCUUAUCGUUAGUUGCCAGCGCGUAAAGGCGGGAACUCUAACGAGACUGCCUAGGUUAACUAGGAGGAAGGUGAGGAUGACGUCAAGUCCGCAUGGCCUUUAUGUCCAGGGCUACACACGUGCUACAAUGGUCGGUACAGAAGGCAGCGAAACCGCAAGGUGGAGCAAAUCCAGAAAACCGAUCUCAGUUCAGAUUGUAGUCUGCAACUCGGCUACAUGAAGUUGGAAUUGCUAGUAAUGGCGUGUCAGCAACAACGCCGUGAAUACGUUCCCGGGCCUUGUACACACCGCUCGUC
rnacentral:rRNA from 1 species